UGCUCCUAUAGGUUAGCGGGGGGGGGGUGAGGUACAGUGGGGCAACCUGCCCUGGAGAUGGGGAAAAUUUGGGGAACCGGGAGCUAAUACCGGAUAACACCGAAAACCCGCAUGGUUUUCGGUUGAAAGGCGGCUUUUAGCUGUCACUGCAGGAUGGGCCCGCGGCGCAUUAGCUAGUUGGUGAGGUAACGGCUCACCAAGGCGACGAUGCGUAGCCGACCUGAGAGGGUGACCGGCCACACUGGGACUGAGACACGGCCCAGACUCCUACGGGAGGCAGCAGUAGGGAAUCUUCCGCAAUGGACGAAAGUCUGACGGAGCAACGCCGCGUGAGCGAAGAAGGUCUUCGGAUCGUAAAGCUCUGUUGUCAGGGAAGAACAAGUGCCGUUCGAACAGGGCGGUACCUUGACGGUACCUGACGAGGAAGCCACGGCUAACUACGUGCCAGCAGCCGCGGUAAUACGUAGGUGGCAAGCGUUGUCCGGAAUUAUUGGGCGUAAAGCGCGCGCAGGCGGUUCCUUAAGUCUGAUGUGAAAUCUCGCGGCUCAACCGCGAGCGGCCAUUGGAAACUGGGGAACUUGAGUGCAGGAGAGGGGAGCGGAAUUCCACGUGUAGCGGUGAAAUGCGUAGAGAUGUGGAGGAACACCAGUGGCGAAGGCGGCUCUCUGGCCUGUAACUGACGCUGAGGCGCGAAAGCGUGGGGAGCGAACAGGAUUA
rnacentral:rRNA from 1 species